rnacentral:antisense_RNA from 1 species
AAAAAGGAGACACAUUGACCUGGAGUUUCCCCGCUUAGACAAUUUCAUAUGGUUCAACUUAUCCGCACUUUGUCCAGUAGGUCACAUGAUAGGAGAUGGCAGUCUCCUGCCAUCUGGCAAAGGUCACAAGGCAGGAGGGGCCUGGUCCAGGAUGUCCCAGCCAUGGGACACAGAUGGCUAGUGGCAGCCACAGGAGGAGAAUGACUUGUCCCUGCAUGCAGGAAACCUGGAGAAAUGCACGCAGCCAAGCUUGUACCCACGCUGUGCCACUCAGAAGGAACCGAAAACUCAGCACUGCACAUGGCCGAGCAGACCAAAAGCGACUGCGAGGGAAGACGUUCAGCCCAGAAGUGGAAGUGAGCUGCCGCUAAGGCUUUCGGGGAAUGUAGUCCCCUAGCUGUGCCACAUGUCCCUGCAUUCAGGAGGUGCUCUCUUGACAUGUG